AAACUCGUGGUAUUUUGAAUAUUAUGACUCAUUUAUAAUACUGUUCGAAACCAAAUGCGUUAAAACACUCAGUUUCAGAACCAUGAAAACAAUUACGAUCAUUUUCGUAAUAUAUUUAUUUGCAGAUAUCCAACAUGGUGAACUAAUACGAGAUUGUGCCACUUCCAAGUUCUGCGAGUCUCUAAAACCUACACCUGGAAUUGUAUUGUGUUUGCAAUGCAGCAAGAAGAGUUUAUGUAAUAACGAUACAAUACCUUACUAAAAAAUAUAUUUUGUUUCUAUUGGGUAAA